rnacentral:rRNA from 1 species
AACGAACGCUGGCGGCGUGCCUAACACAUGCAAGUCGUGCGAGAAAGUUCCUUCGGGAGCGAGUAAAGCGGCGCACGGGUGAGUAACACGUAGGUAACCUGCCCCCCAGUCUGGAACAACUAGAGGAAACUCUAGCUAAUGCCGGAUGAGACCACGAUCCCUUCGGGGGUUGCGGCCAAAGAUGGCCUCUACUUGUAAGCUAUCGCUGAGGGAUGGGCCUGCGGGCCAUUAGCUUGUUGGUGAGGUAACGGCUCACCAAGGCUGUGAUGGCUAGCUGGUCUGAGAGGAUGACCAGCCACACUGGGACUGAGACACGGCCCAGACUCCUACGGGAGGCAGCAGUGGGGACUAUUGCGCAAUGGCGAAAGCCUGACGCAGCGACGCCGCGUGGGUGAUGAAGGCC